UACGUAGGGUGCGAGCGUUAAUCGGAAUUACUGGGCGUAAAGGGUGCGUAGGCGGAUAUAUAAGUUAGAUGUGAAAUCCCCGAGCUUAACUUGGGAAUGGCAUUUAAGACUGUAUGUCUAGAGUCUGUAAGAGGGGGGUGGAAUUCCGAGUGUAGCAGUGAAAUGCGUAGAGAUUCGGAGGAACAUCAGUGGCGAAGGCGGCCCCCUGGUAUAAGACUGACGCUGAGGCACGAAAGCGUGGGUAGCAAACAGG
rnacentral:rRNA from 1 species